GGUUAAGCGACUAAGCGUACACGGUGGAUGCCCUGGCAGUCAGAGGCGAUGAAGGGCGUGCUAAUCUGCGAUAAGCGCCGGUAAGGUGAUAUGAACCGUUAUAACCGGCGAUACCCGAAUGGGGAAACCCAGUGUGACUCGUCACACUAUCAUUAACUGAAUCCAUAGGUUAAUGAGGCGAACCGGGGGAACUGAAACAUCUAAGUACCCCGAGGAAAAGAAAUCAACCGAGAUUCCCCCAGUAGCGGCGAGCGAACGGGGAGGAGCCCAGAGCCUGAAUCAGCAUGUGUGUUAGUGGAAGCGUCUGGAAAGGCGCGCGAUACAGGGUGACAGCCCCGUACACAAAAGCGCAUGUGCUGUGAGCUCGAUGAGUAGGGCGGGACACGUGGUAUCCUGUCUGAAUAUGGGGGGACCAUCCUCCAAGGCUAAAUACUCCUGACUGACCGAUAGUGAACCAGUACCGUGAGGGAAAGGCGAAAAGAACCCCGGCGAGGGGAGUGAAAAAGAACCUGAAACCGUGUACGUACAAGCAGUGGGAGCCCCACCACCAAAGCAUUCUCUGGUGUUGAAGGCCCUGCAAAGCAGCAUCGCGGUGGCGGAGCGUCGUUUGCGACGCCCAACACACAAAACAAGCGGUGAGUGCUUUGGGGUGGGGUGACUGCGUACCUUUUGUAUAAUGGGUCAGCGACUUAUAUUCUGUAGCAAGGUUAACCGAAUAGGGGAGCCGGAGGGAAACCGAGUCUUAAUUGGGCGUUAAGUUGCAGGGUAUAGACCCGAAACCCGGUGAUCUAGCCAUGGGCAGGUUGAAGGUUGGGUAACACUAACUGGAGGACCGAACCGACUAAUGUUGAAAAAUUAGCGGAUGACCUGUGGCUGGGGGUGAAAGGCCAAUCAAACCGGGAGAUAGCUGGUUCUCCCCGAAAGCUAUUUAGGUAGCGCCUCGUGAACUCAUCUCCGGGGGUAGAGCACUGUUUCGGCUAGGGGGCCAUCCCGGCUUACCAACCCGAUGCAAACUGCGAAUACCGGAGAAUGUUAUCACGGGAGACACACGGCGGGUGCUAACGUCCGUCGUGAAGAGGGAAACAACCCAGACCGCCAGCUAAGGUCCCAAAGUCAUGGUUAAGUGGGAAACGAUGUGGGAAGGCCCAGACAGCCAGGAUGUUGGCUUAGAAGCAGCCAUCAUUUAAAGAAAGCGUAAUAGCUCACUGGUCGAGUCGGCCUGCGCGGAAGAUGUAACGGGGCUAAACCAUGCACCGAAGCUGCGGCAGCGAACGUAUCACCCAAGACAACUUUGCGGAGUUGACGAUUGACGGAGCGAAGCGACGUCAAAGCGUUCAUUAAAGUCGAGUUGGCUUAGGGAUACGUUCGUUGGGUAGGGGAGCGUUCUGUAAGCCAGUGAAGGUGUGUCGUGAGGCAUGCUGGAGGUAUCAGAAGUGCGAAUGCUGACAUAAGUAACGAUAAAGCGGGUGAAAAGCCCGCUCGCCGGAAGACCAAGGGUUCCUGUCCAACGUUAAUCGGGGCAGGGUGAGUCGACCCCUAAGGCGAGGCCGAAAGGCGUAGUCGAUGGGAAACGGGUUAAUAUUCCCGUACUUGGUGUUACUGCGAAGGGGGGACGGAGAAGGCUAUGUUGGCCGGGCGACGGUUGUCCCGGUUUAAGCGUGUAGGCUGGUUUUCCAGGCAAAUCCGGAAAAUCAAGGCUGAGGCGUGA
rnacentral:rRNA from 1 species